ACCCUUCAAGAGGAGAAAUGUGCUUUAUAUGUGUGGUGUUUGUUGUGUUUAUUGGUAAUCAAGUUGUGUUACUUUUUAAUGAGUUGAGUUGAGUAUAUGUUUACAAGUAUUGCUCAUGUAUCACAGUUUAUGCAUUUGCAUCCUAUGUCAGGAUAAUGAUUAUAAUAGGAACAGAUUUUGUGAGUAAAAAAAUUGAACAUUUUUCAGUGGUCCUCACUGUUGGUAGUGAGCGAUUGUUGGGAGUACACUUCCUUCAAAGAUUUCCAUGAGAUGAGCAAGUCUUUCGCAGUUGCUGACAAUUUGAAUAAGGUUGUGCACAUAACAUCAUCUCCUAUGUUUCCUAUUUGUAUUAAUCUUAUAAAGAUUGUUAUUGAGAUAUAUUGUAGAGUUCACCAUAUGGGAUGUCAAUAUGUCAUAUAAUUCAAGUAUCAAGGAAUUGGCCGAACAAAUAGCAAAAGAUCCAUCGUUCGAUCAUAUGUAGUUUGAUUGAGUGAUGUAGUUUUAAAUACUGAUUGAAAAACACAUCCCGAGUUCAUUGUCAAAGAGGUAACAAUUUAUAUUUCUUAAAUAUUUGAUCAUUAUCUACUAAACAACCAUAGUAUUAGAAAUUGUAGCAUGCAUAAUCGAUAUCCAUUCUGCAUAAAUUGUUUCCAUAUCCUUUAUAUGUAAUGGUCCAUAAAUUAUAGGCUUUCCUCUAUUGUGAGUGUUCUAUCUCAGCAGAAGAAGAUUUUUUGUCAAG
rnacentral:lncRNA from 1 species